GAAACUGGUGUAGUUUGAACGGAUUAAGUGAAUCAGGAAAAAUUUUAUUGAACUUGAAAACAGAGUGUAAUAUAUGUCGAUAAAGGCACUAUAAAAAACAAGUGAAAAUCAUAACAAAAUAAAAGAACUUUAGACAGUUUACCAACAAUAUUACAUUUUGGCAAAUGCUGAUGUGUUUCAAAAAAGACAUUAAAUCCAAAACCUUAAAUAUUUUCUAAAUCCUAAAAUUUUAAGCUUUAGAUCCUAAUUUUUAAUUCUAAACAGUAAUUUUAAAUUCUAAAUCUAAAUUAUUAAUAUAAAAUAUAAUAAUUUUACAUGUACAAUAUUUUUACUUAAUAAGGAGUAUUUAUGGAUGAGAUUUGCAUUUUACAUAUUUGAAAAUUUCAUCUCUUAACAAUGCAACCCCUUGGUUCAUUUAUUUGAAUAUCUUGAGAAUUUGGAAAAACUACGGGUCAAAGAACGUGGUAAUAGAUUUUCCAGGACCUAAUACAUGUGCACAGCACAUCACUAAUUUAUGUAAUGGGAAAAAAUGGUGUGGAAAAUUUCAAGCAAUAAAUAAAUAAAUCAAAUUUGAGAGUUUAACAUCACCAAAAUAUAAAAAACAGCUGAAUAUGAAUCAACAAAACAAAAUUAUCUUCUUCAAAGGCAUAAUAAUGAAGCAAAUCUCUCUGACAUGUCCAUUUUUUACACAAGAGGUGAGAAACCGUAGGAGAAAGACAGAAAGUGUCCAUGUGAUGA